rnacentral:rRNA from 1 species
UCUUUGCAGUAAUGCAAGGCAGACGGCUCAGUAACACGUAGUCAACUUACCCUAUGGACGAGGAUAAUCUCGGGAAACUGAGCAUAGUACUCGAUAGAUCAUAAUGCCUGGAAUGGUUUAUGGUUGAAAUGAUUCGUCGCCAUAGGAUGGGACUGCGGCCUAUCAGCUUGUUGGUGAGGUAAUGGCCCACCAAGGCGAUUACAGGUACGGGCUCUGAGAGGAGAAGCCCGGAGAUGGGUACUGAGACAAGGACCCAGGCCCUAUGGGGCGCAGCAGGCAAGAAAACUUUGCAAUGUGCGAAAGCACGACAAGGUUAAUCCUAGUGAUUUCUGCUAAAUAAAUCUUUUGCAAGUCAUAAAACCACUAGUGAAUAAGGGGUGGGCAAGUUCUGGUGUCAGCCGCCGCGGUAAAACCAGCACCUCAAGUGGUCAGGAGGAUUAUUGGGCCUAAAGCAUCCGUAGCCGGCUCUGUAAGUUUUCGGUUAAAUCCAUGUGCUCAACAUAUGGGCUGCCGAAAAUACUGCAUAGCUAGGGAGUGGGAGAGGUAGACGGUACUCGGUAGGAAGGGGUAAAAUCCUUUGGUCUAUCGAUGACCACCUGUGGCGAAGGCGGUCUACCA